CAGUCGCCGCGGGAAUACGAAGGGUGCAAGCGUUACUCGGAAUUACUGGGCGUAAAGCGUGCGUAGGUGGUUGUUUAAGUCUGCUGUGAAAGCCCUGGGCUCAACCUGGGAAUUGCAGUGGAUACUGGGCAACUAGAGUAAGGUAGAGGAUAGUGGAAUUUCCGGUGUAGCAGUGAAAUGCGUAGAGAUCGGAAGGAACAUCUGUGGCGAAGGCGACUAUCUGGGCCAUUACUGACACUGAGGCACGAAAGCGUGGGGAGCAAACAGGAUUAGAUACCCGCGUAGUCCCUGUCUCUUAUAC
rnacentral:rRNA from 1 species